rnacentral:rRNA from 1 species
GUGCCAGCAGCCGCGGUAAUACGUAGGGUGCGAGCGUUAAUCGGAAUUACUGGGCGUAAAGCGUGCGCAGGCGGUUUUGUAAGACAGAGGUGAAAUCCCCGGGCUCAACCUGGGAACUGCCUUUGUGACUGCAAGGCUGGAGUACGGCAGAGGGGGAUGGAAUUCCGCGUGUAGCAGUGAAAUGCGUAGAUAUGCGGAGGAACACCGAUGGCGAAGGCAAUCCCCUGGGCCUGUACUGACGCUCAUGCACGAAAGCGUGGGGAGCAAACAGGAUUAGAUACCCUGGUAGUCC